rnacentral:snRNA from 1 species
GUACUCGCUUCGGCGGUACAUAUGCUAAAAUUGGAACGAUACAGAGAAGAUUAAGCAGAGCCUCUACGCAAGGAUAACAUGCAAAAUCGUAAAGCGUAGGCGCCACGG